GAUACACUGGUCUACUUAUAGCCCACACUACAAACACUGCUGUGUCAUUUUGUCUCUCUGUGCAGGCCAGGGCCUAUUAUAUGCCACAGCCUAAAGGCAGCAGAGUUGCAGAGGCUGGAGUGACCACUGGCUAUAUGCUUUAACCCUGUUAAAGGCAACACGUGGAGUGCAACUGGUUGUGUGGCAUAGCUGGCUCUGGCCUUGGGACUGUGUGUUUUUAUUUGAUUCAUAAAGGGUACACUGGACUGUUUUAUAUUUUAUCUCUUGAUUAUUUGUCAAUAAAUUAUCUUUUAGAAUUUUA